rnacentral:ncRNA from 1 species
UCCCUGCUUUUCCUCCCUGAGCAGGUGCCUUACCGUGUUGACAGCGCUAAGGCUUCGAAGCCCCGGCACAUGCCGGGGCUCUUUUUU